AGUAGUUUGAUCAUGGCUCAAGAACGAACGCUGGCGGCAGGCUUAACACAUGCAAGUCGAACGGUUGUAGCAAUACAGCAGUGGCAGACGGGUGAGUAACACGUGGGAACCUUCCUAGGGGUACGGAACAACUCAGGGAAACUUGAGCUAAUACCGUAUACGUCCGUGAGGAGAAAGAUUUAUCGCCCUUAGACGGGCCCGCGUCGGAUUAGCUAGUUGGUGGGGUAACGGCCUACCAAGGCGACGAUCCGUAGCUGAUCUUAGAGGAUGAUCAGCCACACUGGGACUGAGACACGGCCCAGACUCCUACGGGAGGCAGCAGCGGGGAAUCUUGGACAAUGGGCGCAAGCCUGAUCCAGCCAUGCCGCGUGAGUGAAGAAGGUCUUCGGAUUGUAAAGCUCUUUUGCCAGGGACGAUAAUGACGGUACCUGGAGAAUAAGCCCCGGCAGACUUCGUG
rnacentral:rRNA from 1 species